AACGUUGUCUUGUCGUCGUUCUGUCUGUUACAGCAUAUAUACAGAAGUGAUUCCUUUGUUCUAGUUAGAUCUCUCGUCUGAGUUCUCCAUCUGCACAGAUGUAAUAAAGCUGUGUUUUGUUCCCUCUUUUUAACAAGGUUUUGUCAUAAAGCGUGGUGGUGAGGUGGUGAGGCAGCAAACGGGAACCCAGGGUGUGGUGAAAAAUGAUAUUUAAUGAAGGAGAUAAAUCCACAAAAUUCUGGCGGCACGGCUGAGCGGAAGCCAGGGCUCACACCGGUAGCAACAGAAUUAACACCGUGGCAAACAAAACAGGCAGACUGAGUGACGCGACAAUCAACGAGGACCCGACGAAGACACAGACACACAGGUGGGCAGUUUCUGGGGAAAUUAUGAAAGUGAAACUACUGCCAGGUGCAACAAAAGCUCAAAGGAGAUGAAGUGGAGUGAGCUGGAUUCCAUCUCCAUAGGAGUAACACCUGAACCAAUGCAGGAAACAUCCAGCUUCAUUAAAUCUCCCCUCAGGUCCACAAACAGCCCCAGCCUCUGAACUACAGGAGAAACUCUCCUGUGUGCAGCUCCUCGCGUUUCAGCAUCAGGCUCCACUAAUGGCUACUUCCCCGCACCACAGCAGGUUCGACAGACAAUAGAAAGACGAGGCUACGCUUCCCUGAAUUUCCCCAAGUGAAAUAAAGCGUUUUGUGAAAGCGAGAUCCAUUGUUUGUAUUUAGUGGGACACCUUGCAGCAUCUUGGCGAUAUUAACUGAACAGAAGGUGAACCCUG